AGCAGCCAUUUGGUGGCAAGUUAGCUCCGUGACUAGAAGAAGCAGCAAUUCACUUAACUUAAGAAAAUACUUCAGGAUGAGAUUGCUUUUCAUACCUUCAGAGCCUUCACCUGCACCACCACUUGAAGGAUGAGAGUAUUUUAUUCAUGGAUGGGAUUCCAUGUCACAUCACAUCCUACCCUGUGACCCAUUUUAUGGCAAAGGAAGCCCACCAUGGACACGUGGCUAUGAGAUAUGGGAUCCACUGGCCCUACCUCAGAUAGCACCAGCUGUAAGAAUCUGGUCUGCUGGAGUGAUAGAAUGGCCUAUUGAAGGCACAGUGGAGGGAGCCACUUGGCCUUGGAAAGUGUUCCAGGAAUGGACUUUCUGCAGUAUGAUGACCUGCAAAAGCACCCUUUCCAUUUAUGCUUCAAACUCCAAGUCAGCCGUGUCAAAGUUUGCACUAGGGCUGUGGAGGAUAAUGGGUCAGAUGCAAUUAGCAGCCGAGAGAGCUGCACAUUGCACUCUGAUUUAUUUUUUUGCCCAUCAGAUUCCAAGAAUCCUAGUGCUUAAAAGCAACUAAACAAUCACUCUAUUGUACUGAAAUAAAGCCCAGUUAAUUCAAAAAUCAAUUGCACCACCAGGUGGGGCACACUCUGGCCCCAAACAGAUGGGGUCGAAGCCCCUCCAUCCCCCAACGAAGUCUUGUUAAAUUAAAAACUUGAUCCAGAAGUGGAACAAAUAGGGAGCCAUGAAUGGAAUGGAGUCAGGUCCACUCAGGCGAAUUCUUUCUUCUCUCAGGCUUUUCCCUUCCUUUCAAAGUGAAAAAUUUACCAUUCCACUUUCUCCAGUGUUAACAUCUCUGCAGAAACGCAGCCAUCCACCCUUUGCAGUUCAAUAUGUUACUUUAAUUAGUCUGAAAAUUAAAGGGCAACUCUGGGCCAAUGUGAAUGAUUAUGAAAAUACAUGUGCAUCCCAUGCAAUCCUCUCAUUUAAUUAAUAGUCUUGUAAACUAUAUGGCACACUUGAAGUCAGUUGAGAGGUAUAACAACUCCAUUUUAAUAUCCACUUAAUAUUUAACAGAAUGUGAGGAACACGCUGAAGCAUACAGUCCCUUCUCAAGUUUCACUGUCUGAAAAUUUUCAAAGCUGACCCAAGUCAACCCGAAAAAUGUUUAACACCCUGGGCUUGAACACAAGAAACUCUGUGAUGAACAGACAUUCAAUUACAUUUUUUAAAAGUGAGAAGCAUUUUUGUAAAAUAGCUGCUCUGGAAACUAAUUGGCAGACAGGAAACUAGUGAGUGAAGGCCAAAUCUUGUGGGGAACUUUUACUACAGUAACAGGACUCAAAGAAAAUGUGAAUAAAAGGCAUCUUUGUUUCCCAGUCAAAUUAGC
rnacentral:lncRNA from 1 species